rnacentral:rRNA from 1 species
AGUGAACGCUGGCGGUAGGCCUAACGCAUGCAAGUCGAACGGCAGCACAGUAAGAGCUUGCUCUUACGGGUGGCGAGUGGCGGACGGGUGAGGAAUACAUCGGAAUCUACUUUUUCGUGGGGGAUAACGUAGGGAAACUUACGCUAAUACCGCAUACGACCUACAGGUGAAAGCAGGGGAUCUUCGGACCUUGCGCGAUUGAAUGAGCCGAUGUCGGAUUAGCUAGUUGGCGGGGUAAAGGCCCACCAAGGCGACGAUCCGUAGCUGGUCUGAGAGGAUGAUCAGCCACACUGGAACUGAGACGCGGUCCAGACUCCUACGGGAGGCAGCAGUGGGGAAUAUUGGACAAUGGGCGCAAGCCUGAUCCAGCCAUACCGCGUGGUGAAGAAGGCCUUCGGGUUGUAAAGCCCUUUUGUUGGGAAAGAAAAGCAGCAGGUUAAUACCCCGCUGUUCUGACGGUACCCAAAGAAUAAGCACCGGCUAACUUCGUG